CUAUAUACAUAAGAGAGGAUGGAAAAGAGCCUUGUUGGCUAGUUUGCUGCUUCACAAUUAUUUUCAAAGUCACUGUAUGCUGUAUGGAGAAAUGGAUUACAUACUGGUGGAUCUUCAGUAAUGUCAGUUUCAAAGAAUAGAGACGACCAUCUCUACAGAUAGAAGAAUUUGUAAGAGGACCAAGCCAUGAGGUUUUUUUUCAUUUUUGAAAUUGGACAUGAGCUGCUUGUAGAAGUGGAAUGUUUCCCAGAGGAGAGAAGUCAAUUUAACUGCACAGAGACUGGAACUGUCUCUGGAUCCUUAUGCUUGAAUAUCUGAGACAACAGCAUCAAACACAGCCAAAAUCCUGUACACAUAGGGAGCUGUGUCAAGAAAUUCAUGGGUUAAAGGAGAAGAGUCUAAACUUCACUGCUGAAAUUUUAGGCAACUGCAUCAAACACAGCCAGAAUUAUAUACACAUAGGGAGCUGAGUCAAGAGAUUCAUAGGUUGAAGGAGAAAAGCCUAAACUUCACUGCUGAAAUUUGAGACAACUACAUCAAACACAGCCAGAAUUAUAUACACAGAGGGAGCUGAGUCAAGAGAUUUGUGGAUUGAAAGAGAAGAGAUUUAACUGGACUGCUCAUUGAAGAAAGCAAGAUUAUGGCUCAAGAUUAAGCAAGAAGGCUAUUGGUCGCACCUCUCAUCAAAGUCAUCUUUUGGGAUUUACAUUCUACAUCUAGAUUUGGAUUUACAUUAUACUUCUUUAGAAAACCAUUGUGAAAAUUUAUUUUUGC